AUGGAUGCUAUCGGUGAAUCUGCACUAGAUCGUCAAUCCUGCUCUUUCUCGGUGAAACUUCUCCUGAAGAACCAAUCUGAAUCCUGCUGGUGCACAUCCUCUAACUGGUCAUUGUGUUUUCAAUGUAAAUGGAUGCUAUCGGUGAAUCUGCACUAGAUCGUCAAUCCUGCUCUUUCUCAGUGAAACUUUCUCCUGAAGCAGCAAUCUGAAUCCUGCUAGUGCACAUCCUCUAAUUUUACAGUACUUGAACAAGGAAGUAACUAAAGUUAUUCAUAAAGGUGUUGCUGCCUAUGAAUGCAAGAUCGUUGAAGGGUGCAAUCAUCAGUUACUAUGAUUUGUGAAUUGUUGAAGGGUGCAAGAUCUGAUGCUUGUGAAUUGUUGCUUAUGGUUGCGGCUGCAUUGGUGUUACUUUGUACCAGACGACCGGAAGUUGCUGCAUUUAAGUUCCAUGGCUACUAAAUGUACCUGCAAUAGUGACUGGUGGAGGUAAAUACUUUGUCCUUGACCAGUAGAGUUUAAAGUUCCCCAAGUUCUGUGUCUUGUGACCAAGGAAGCUGGUGCCCAGGUCAUAAUCACUGAAAUUGAUGAUAAAAUCCUUGUAAAUUGAUAGUUUUUUCUUUAGGAGAGUAGUAGCA